UUAGUAGAAUCCAAACUGAGGAUUAUCACUGUUAAUGAUAUCAUUAAGAUUUAUAUCUUCUAUUAAA
rnacentral:tRNA from 1 species